AACACGUUCCUUAGAUCCACCUCUGGAGGAGUUGUGCUCUGAGCACAGCUCCUCAGCAGCUUCAUUGCUGUACAGUUGGAGGUGCUUGAGUCAUUGGCGUGUGAGAACAGUCCACCUGUCCCCCGGCUCACCUGCAACACUGGCAACUCUGUCCUCUAAAGACAGAGAGCUCCCAGUGCUGCCAGCCUGGAGGACGGACAUG